rnacentral:lncRNA from 1 species
UCCUGAGAAGAAUCAAUUUAAUUGGGUCAUUCCCCAUAAAUAUGUAACGGAAAGCGCUAAUGUAACUUACUAACGAUGGUCAAAACUAAAUAAAUUUUUACGGCUUAUUUGACUUUGAAUGUGUAAAAUUAUCAUGAUUACUAACUAAACAUUCAGUUGAGUGGUGUUAGGUAGAGAAUUAAGUGAUGUGGAAACUCCGACGAAUUGGUCAAUGACCAAGAAUGAAUUUAAAUUCAACUCCUUUCUCUCUCUCUCUCUCUCUUUGAUACCUUUGUCUGUAAAUUGAAGGUUUUUUUUUUUUUAAAGUUUCGUUAACUUCAAUUUGAUGUCUUUGAUACCUUUGUCUGUAAAUUGAAGGUUUUUUUUUUUUUAAAGUUUCGUUAACUUCAAUUUGAUGUGUCAAAUAAUUAUUUUUAAAUAUUACUACUGACGGGUGGUAAAACAAUAAUAUUGGAGUCCCCUAGUUGUAAUCAGUAAAAUAAUAUAACUCCUAAAAAAAAAACUCUGAUCCAUUGUAAUAAUAAAAAUGGAAUUAAUAUUUCUAUACUAAGAACUGGAACAAAUGUAUAUAUAGAAAAGAUAUGAACAAAUUAGUUAUAUGUAUUAUAUAUGGAAACAUUUCUAGUAUUAUCUAUUUAAUUAUGUUAUGUUAUUGGUAGUUUAGCAAAUUUUAAAUUACCUACUGGUAUGUGGUACGAACAAGAUUUAUGAACCUUAUAUAGAAUGACCAGCUAACUAGCUAGCAAGCCAGCAAAGUAUUUGAUUGAAUAUGAUGAAAAACAAAAUAGAAGUAUCUUUUCCUUAACUUACCAAG